UACGUAGGCAGCGAGCGUUGUUCGGAAUUACUGGGCGUAAAGAGUGUGUAGGCGGUGCUCUAAGUUCGGUGUGAAAUCUCCUGGCUCAACUGGGAGGGUGCGCCGGAAACUGGAGUGCUUGAGCGUGGGAGAGGAAAGCGGAAUUCCUGGUGUAGCGGUGAAAUGCGUAGAUAUCAGGAGGAACACCUGUGGUGUAGACGGCUUUCUGGACCAUAGCUGACGCUGAGGAGCGAAAGUGUGGGGAGCGAACAGG
rnacentral:rRNA from 1 species